AUGGAGAAGCCUGCAGGCAGAAAAAAGAAGACGCUGACCCAGAGGGAGAAAGCCGAUGCGCAGAAGAGCGUGCCCAGAGAGGAGAAGGCCUCCGGGGACAGAAAGCCACCUGAGAGGCCCACUGUGCCCAGGAAGCCCUGCACAGAGCCCCACCUGAGUCCUGAAGAAGAGCACAUCUUUGAUGCCUUCCACGCUUCAUUUAAAAAUGCCUUUGAGGGGGUUCCCGUGUUCAUUCCUUUUCAGAGGAAGAAACCCUAAGAGUGCAGUUAAUGGAGGUGGAUCUUUAAGCAUAAGACAGACCACAUUCGCCAUCAGAGGGUCCACACCGGACAGAAGCCCUUCAAGUGUUAGCAGUGAGGGAAGGCCUUUCGGCACAGCUUUGAUGUCACCAAACACCAGA
rnacentral:lncRNA from 1 species